CUUCAUCUUCUCUCCACCGAAAAAAUGGCAGCAAAGAAAGGGUUUAGAAGCUGGAAACUUUCAGCAAAGAAACUCCCUUUAUAAUGAUGAAAAUUGAGAUUUGGACCUAGAACGGAAAGAAAUCGAUUAAGGGAUAAUUACGUCUUUUUUUUUCACCUUUGUGGUAUGGAGGUAAGUUCAUGUGUAAAUAAUGUAGCAUAAUUGUUAUUUUUAAGUUAUUGAUGUUAAAUAUAUGAUAUGCUGAUUUUUAUCAUGAAAUAUAUGCUUUGUGGUUAUUUUCGAAUAAAA